UUGCUGUUCGAUUUUGUUUGCCUUUUUAAUUUUGGCAAUUAAUGAAAUUUAAUACUUUUGUGUGCACUGUCUGGCGCACAAGUUUUGGGUCGUUGGAAUUUAUGCUGGCCCCAACUUUAUUUGUUGUUAGAUUGAGAAAGUUGCGAGGUAUUUGUCAAAACUUAGGGGCCUUUUAAGUGACAGAUUAUUUGAAGAUGAUAGAUGAGUAAAGGAUACGGAAAAUGCAAAAAAUAAACUACAUAUGGAUAUGAAGGUCAAAUUAUUGUUCGCUUUUGAUAAUUACUACAAUAAUCUUGGUGAACCAAACAACCUUUCAACAUGGAGUGAAAUAUUGCAUCACAUUCCUCGCCUCUGAAAACAAAGUCUUCAAAACUGCCAAGAAGCUCCUCGCAAUUGUCGAUACGUCUCCUUUUCGAGUUUGCUGAUUGGCCAUUUACAAUAUGCAAAUUUGAUCC